rnacentral:rRNA from 1 species
UACGGAGGGGGCUAGCGUUGUUCGGAAUUACUGGGCGUAAAGCGCGCGUAGGCGGACCUGCAAGUCGGGGGUGAAAGCCCGAGGCUCAACCUCGGGAACUGCCUUCGAUACUGCGGGUCUCGAGUCCGGGAGAGGUGAGUGGGAAUUCCUAGUGUAGAGGUGAAAUUCGUAGAUAUUAGGAAGAACACCGAGAUGGCGGCAAGGACGGCUGCCACUG